GUAAGAAUCGAAGAGCAUUAAAAAAAAGUAGAUGCUGUGAAUGCAUUAAAAAUUUAUUUUACAUAAGAUAGUGGGAUGGAAGCAUUUAAUACUUACAAUACCAAAAGGCUGAAGACGACAAAGUGAUUCCCUGAUUGAGAAAUAAAGCUGAGCAUACGAUUUACCUAGCGACGUCUUGCAUGACUUUUUGAAAGGUUGAGCAAUCAGACUUUG